GCCUUAGCAACUGAGAUUGGAAACUGAGAGCGAUUGCCAAGAGGAGGAGGAAUGGGCGUGGCUUAGCCUCUGCCCACCAAUGAUUUGGCUCGCCCGGCCGUGAGUGACACGGCGAUUGAAGAGGAAGGGGGAGUCCGUGUCGUGUCCCACUUUGCUGCAAGUCUGAGAAGCAACGGACCUGAGGAUGUUUGGCAGUGAAAACGUCUGCAAUUUUGCCUUUCAUGCUAAAGAAGCACUUCCCUGGUGGGAACGAAAAAUGCAUUCAGUUUCCCCAUCUUGAAGGAGGGUGAGGCUCAGCUGCACCUCUUCUAUCUCUGGGAGGAAUCUCGCAAGGAGCCGGUAAGAGGAUCUCCUCCUCCUCCCCAAGCCCAAUUUUUCUUGCGCUGGAAGAAGACAACUCUCUGGAUCAUUGUGCACACAAGAGAGUGUGAAAUGUGUUUUGUCCUCAUUGUCAUCCUUCAUGUCUCCAACCCUUUCCACUUUGUUCUGGGCCAUUUGUCAGGGCUUCUCCUGCACAUGAUGGAGCGGUGUACUAAAUGAUCCAGGUAGCGUUGCAAAACAGAGAACUGAAAGAGAUUUGCUAAGAGAUCUUGCAGCCCCUUUGAGAUAACGGAAAGGAAGAGGUUGGCAGCAUGACCAUUCAUAGACUUGAGUCUCUUUCCUCAGAUGCAUUUGAAAGAGACAUUAUACGUCAAAAUGCAAGAAUUUCCUCUCAAUUAGAUAAAUAAAUUAUUUUAAAUUAGUUUUUAUCGCUUUACUCUGUUUUAAUU